rnacentral:pre_miRNA from 15 species
GGAAGAAGAAGAAGCCCUUGAGGGGUUAGAGGUGCUAGAUGUUUUUCUACGAUUCUCAGGACUGCACCUUUUUCG